CCGCACAGAAAGGGUCCGAGAUCGGCCGGCCGGGAGCCCAGAUCCCAUGGAGGCGGCGGACUGCAGCUACCAGUUCCGAGUCGCUCUGCUCGGGGACGCGGCGGUGGGCAAGACGUCACUGUUGCGGUGCUACGUGGCGGGCGCCCGCGGGGCGGCGGCGGAGCCCGAGCCCGAGCCCACUGUGGGCGUGGAGUUCUACAGCCGCGCUCUGCAGCUGCCCGCUGGGCUGCGGGUCAAGCUGCAGCUCUGGGACACCGCGGGUCACGAGCGCUUCAGGUGCAUCACCAGAUCCUUCUACCGGAACAUGGUGGGCGUUCUGUUGGUCUUUGAUGUGACGAACAGAGAGUCCUUUGAACACAUCCAAGCCUGGCACCAGGAGGUCCUAUCCUCUCAAUGCCCUGGCAAAGUGAUCUUCUUACUGAUUGGCCACAAGUGCGACCUGAGCACCCGAUGCGUCUCCACCCAGGAGGCAGAGGAGCUGGCUGCUUCCAUGGGCAUGGCCUUCAUGGAGACCUCAGCCAAAAGUAACUGCAAUGUGGACCUGGCCUUUGACCAUGUCACCACCGCCAUCGAGCAGGCUCUGCGGCAGGGGGACAUCAAGCUGGAAGAGGACUGGGCAGGUGUCCGACUCCUCCACAGAGCCCCAAACCCCAGACACCCCAACAGAAAGCAGGACUCGGGCCCAUGCCAGUGUUGACUCUGGGAGAGGGAGGGUUAAAUGGGGCCAGCCUCAGACUCCCCAGCAAGACCGGAGGACAAAAAGACUGUCUCCUGACAUGUUCCUGCCUUCUAAUUCUUGGCAUUUUUUUCUUUGUCGGGAUUGAACACAAGGCUUGGCUAUCUACAGACACCCCCAGCCCUUUUAUCUUUUAUAUUUUCAGAAUGGAUCUUGCUAAGUUGCCCAGGCUAGCCUUGAAGCUCAGUCUCUGGAGCGAUUGAGAUUACAGAAGUGUUCCACUCGGCCAGGACCUCUGCUAGGUCUCUAGUUCUCGGCACAGCCCCUUUUUAGAGAAAAAUCUAAGAGCAGGUUUGCAACUUCAUGUCAUCUAGCCUAAGUUUCUCUCUCCAUGAGUGUGAUGUGGCAGUACACAAAUGCCUGAAUCCCCAAACUGGGAAGGCAGAGGCAGGAUCAGGAGUUCAAUGACAGUCGCAGCCUUGGAGAGUUCAAGGUCAGCCUGGGCGACAUGAGACUGUUGCAAAAACCAGACUAAAAACAUUUAAAAAAAUUCUCUUUUGGGGCUUGGGGAUUUAGCUCAGUGGUAGAGCGCUUGCCUAGCAAGGCCCUGGGUUUGGUCCUCAGCUGGGGGGGGGGGGGGGAUACAUAAGGGACCGGCUUGCUCACUCAGAGCCUGCCUCACUAACAGCUGAUAUCAUGCUUCUCGAUUCCUUUCUUGGCUUCAAAUGGUCAUUUCUGGCAGCAUUCCUGGGCUGGAAGACAGCUGCCCAGCAUGUGUCCACUGCUUUGCUGGUGAGGUAGCCCGGGGAAUUCCAGUACAAGCUUGACUUAGCGCUUCCCCAGCCCUGAGAGUAGCAUGAGUCUGGCCUCAGCACAUGCUGCUUCUCGUGGUUCCCACCCCAAGCUCUGUGACUAGAGUUAAGUUUUGGAGUUGACCAUGAAUGAGCUACAGAUUUGUUGGACACAUGGUAGACAAUGCAGAGAGCCACCAAGGUCUCAGAUGAUGGACUUUGGCCUACUACACUGCCUGGAACCUGGCCAUCCUUAGGAUGAUGUUAAAGAACUUGCCUUCUUCAAGGCAUAGAAGCCCAUGGCUUUAAUCUCAGCACUGAGGAGGCAAAGUUUUACGGACUGAACUUAGGUGGACAGCCUUGCAUGGCAAACACUAGCCACUGAGCCAUCCAGCCAGGCCUCAAAUACCUUGAGAAACACCUUGUUCCUUUGGAUGGCUACACCUGCUCCACCGAGACGCCCAGCUUCCGGUUCCCAUAGUCCUUUCGAGGAAUGCUUGAUACUGGCAUCCCACAACCGUCUUCUAGAGAGCCAAGGUGCGUUGUCCCACUUCCCUUCAGUUGCAUUACUUUUCCUGAUGUCUAUUCACCAAGAACAGAAACAGUUCCACCAGGUCUAUCUUGGUGAACCAGUGAGUUUAUUGGGCUUACUUACAGGAGCAUGGGUGACCCCCAAACAGCUGCAUCACUGAAAAGUCCCACCCCAACAUGGUGACAAUCUCUCCAAAGCAACAGGGAUGGCGUUCCCCUUCAGCUGGCCUUCCACACGCUGUAUUCUCCCCCGAGACCACAUGUAGCCGGGGCAGAAUUACAUGCAGCUUGCUGGGAGGCAUUAGAACCCUAGCUGAAGGUCCAAUGACUCUGCUCAGCCCUUCCCUCCAUGAGGGAACAUUAACAGAUGUGAUCUUAGGAGCGGCACUUGGAGAC